UUUACGGUUUAUAACGAUCACGCCACGUUCGCUCCCACUUUUGUCGAUUUUCGCUCACUUAUCAGAGCGUAUAUAAGACGCCGGAGAUCUCGAUUCCGGCAUAACACAUCUUUUUGUGCAAAUCUAUUCUUUGUUUUCCACAUUUCUCCUCAAAAACCAACCAAAAACCAAAAAUGGGCGCUGAAAAGGUAUCCAUGAACAUCGUUGUCGUCGGACAAGUCCAAUCUGCCAAGGCCAUCAAGACCGUCGCCAAGGCCACCCCAGCCACCAGCCAAUUGAUGAACUGUUAAUUCAUGUAGUCCAUCGAUCUCAAACUCAAAAAUGCCAUAGCCCAAACAAUACGCAAAUUAUAAUAAUAUGUAGUAAAUAAAUGUAUAUUAUAAUUAACGUAUUGCCACUGCAAAAUAAACCACGAUUUUCCCGACAUUUAAA